rnacentral:sRNA from 1 species
ACUUCUUGUUGUUGUUGUUGUCCUUGCUACUUGU